rnacentral:sRNA from 1 species
GAUGCCAGGGUCAAAAGGUCUAAGCCCACAUGAGCUUGCUCAUAAGUGGGUGAAAGACCUUAGGACCCGCCCCGAUAUGAGCAUAAAAGUGGGAUGAUAAUCCCACGAUAUGCGAAUAGAGGGUAGGAUUGAGAGAGUGCAUAGCACGGAACAAUCCGUAGGCAUC